rnacentral:lncRNA from 1 species
CAUCACAGAGCCUCCCGCUUUGGUGACGCAUUGUGCACUGCAAAAAGCUUACCUUGGGAUUCCCAGUAUACUCUGAAGUUUCUGAUUUAGAGUCCAAGGCAACACCAAGAAGGUCUAUUGGGUUACGUCAAACCACCCAAAGAUUAAAUCUCAAAAAACAAGGAUCAGAGCAAGAUGGGUGAGAAGCAACCCCGAAGGGGAUGCCCAGGGUUAUGCUUGACGCAGAAAACAACAAUAAAAAAUAAAGUGACGAGCAGCAAAAGAGAUAGCAAAGAUGCAAAAGGAGAAGGAGUACAAGCAACUGAGAAAAUCAAGAACAGAGGAUCAGACCUUGGAAAGUUCUUGUACAGGGGCUAGGGAUUUUUUAACCAAAAAUAAAUAUAUGACAUAAUGUGCAUCGCUGGAUGGUUUAGCUACUG